CAAGUCGCGGGAAUCCCGGGCAACCGGGGGAACCGGCGUAAGGGGCAGUAAGGCGUGGGUACCCACCCCGGGGUCCGGGAUAGCCCGCCGAGAGGCGGGGUAAUACCGGAUGACCUCGGGAGAGCAAAGCUCCGGCGCCCCGGGCGGGGCCCACGUGAUAUUAGCUGGUUGGCGGGGUGACGGCCCACCAAGGCGGAGAUGUCUAGCGGGUGUGAGAGCACGACCCGCGCCACUCGCACUGAGACACUGGCGAGACACCUACGGGUGGCUGCAGUCGAGGAUCUUCGGCACUGGGCGCAAGCCCGACCGAGCGACGCCGCGUGUGCGACGAAGGCCUUCGGGUUGUAAAGCACUGUCGAGGGGGAGGAACGCCGCAAGGCUUGACCUAUCCCUGGAGGAAGCUCGGGCUAAGUUCGUGCCAGCAGCCGCGGUAAGACGAACCGAGCGAACGUUGUUCGGAAUCACUGGGCUUAAAGGGCGCGUAGGCGGGCGGCCGCGUCCGGGGUGAAAUCCUCCGGCUCAACCGGAGAACGGCCUCGGAUACGGGCGGCCUGGAGGCGGGUAGGGGCGUGCGGAACUGUGGGUGGAGCGGUGAAAUGCGUUGAGAUCCACAGGAACUCCGGUGGCGAAGGCGGCACGCUGGACCCGAUCUGACGCUGAGGCGCGAAAGCCAGGGGAGCGAACGGGAUUAGAUACCCCGGUAGUCCUGGCCCUAAACGUUGGGGACUAGGUAGUAGCCUUGCAUGGGGUUACUGCCGGAGCGAAAGUGCUAAGUCCCCCGCCUGGGGAGUAUGGUCGCAAGGCUGAAACUCAAAGGAAUUGACGGGGGCUCACAC
rnacentral:rRNA from 1 species